AUCUUCUCCUAGAAACCAACAAAUUAAAUAGCUGUGACCAUUUAUACCCUAGGAGUUCACGUGCAGUCCUCAGAGUGAUGCAGGAUUGCUAAAGCUCUGUCAGCAGCUGAGAAGCACAUCUUGGAGGAAUUCCCAUCAGUCACUCACCAUGGUGCACAUGUCUGCACUCAGACAGGAAGUCCAUUUACAUCUGCAGAACAGGAGGGGUUCAGGAGUAUCCCACACUGCCGACACUGUGACCUCAGAUCUCUGUAGCCAGAAGGAUGAGACAAUGAAGCUCUGCUGAAGCCAAUCUGUCCAGGGCACUUUGCUGUAACUAAUAGUCACAGAUGGUUAUGAGCUGCCACGUAGGUGCUGGAAACUGAACAUGGGUUCUCUGCAAGAGCAGCCGGUGCCCUUCACUGCUGAGCCAGCUGUCCGACCUCUCUGCACAUAAGCUUCAAAGAGAAAACUCCACAGCCACAUACUCACUUAUGGUUCAACCAGCCAGAAGAACUUAGACCAAUAUUUACCCAUCUUUGUCCUUUGGGAAGUAAAAGAAUGUUUUGAGAAGAGACGGCCUAGUUAAAUAAACGUAGAAGAGUGAAUUUAAACUCAGCUGAACAGAUUUACUAUUGAGCUUGCUUUAAUAUAAUCAUUGCAUGGGAUGUGUCUGAAACAGCAAGGACCAUGCCAAGAAUUACACCCGACUCCAAAUAGUAUUUGCAGCAACUUCCUCCCCAAAAAGACACGGAGGACCACUCCACCACAUGAUACAGUAUAUUUUACUUCAGAAAUCUUCUUCCAGCACAUACAUGACACUGCACUGUGAGCAACGCAAAUGGAUGUGGCGCACUGAGAUGUGUACAUGUGUCCUUGACUAUAACAGAGAACAUUGGGUUGAUGUUUAAACUGCAGCAGGCUCAUUAUGAUGGUGCAGCUUCCUUAUCAAUUUGGCUGGCUUUAGGAGACACACCUCUGGACCAGACCUUGACAGUAUACUCAGAGCAGUGUGACGGAAGAGAGAAAUGUAACUGAGGGCAGGAGAUCCACCCUACACAUAAGUGGCUCCACUCCAAGGCCUGGGAAACCAAAAUGUAGAAAGUCAGAGGAACACCAGUACUCAACUCUCUGCAGCCUGACUGCAGAAGCCAUGUGGCCAGCCAUAUGCAUGGCUGCACCACUCUGAGGGACUGUAUCCCCUCAAACAGUGAGCCAAAAUAAACCCAUAAGUUACCUCUUGCCAGGUGUUGGUGGUCACAGCAAUAAGGAAUACAGCAUACACCCCUACAUGUCUCCACUCACUAAAGUAUAACCAUACAAUGUCACAGCCCUCAGUCUCUGUCUACCCUAAGGACUAGUCUGGAGUCCAUGAACACCUGCAAUGUUAAAUGGCUUCACUAUAUCACAAAGCUCUCAGGUUACAAGGGCAAUGAUAUAUACCUGUGGAUUUAUUAGAUACACAAAGGAUACCAUGGCCCAAAAUCUAUUUUACAACAUUCUCUAUGGGCUAGCAUAGUAGUGAAAAUAACCUUGGCAAUAUAAUCAUAUAAAAGACAUGGAAUAUCUGCUUGCUGGAUUUGAAUUCAUUCCAAUUUAGAGAGAAAGAGCUCAAAAGCCACUAUUAAGGAAUGUUCGACUAUAGUCCCCUCCAGGAGGGAGACUAAUUUGAGCCCUUGAUUUUAGGGCAGCACUGAGACCUUGUGUCAGAAUCUAAAAGUAUUUUUUAAAACACAGGAAAAAGAAACCCACUAAUGUCCCAGAUUCCAUGAAACCUGUCCAAUUCCUCUGGUUCCCACUGGCCUUAUUUUGACCCUAUAUUCUGUAAUAUAAAAUACUAUUUCUCGACGGGCAUUGGUGGUGCACUCAUUUAGUCCCAGCACUUGGGAGGCAGAGGCAGGUGGAGCUCAGUGAGCUGGAGGCCAGUCUGGUCUACAAAGUAAGUUCCAACACAGCCAGGACUAUUACACAGAGAAACCCUGUCUGGGGAGGGAGGGGAGGAACUAUUUCUUAAAGAGUAAUCCAACAUACUACAGCAGAUCCAUGACAGAAUUUGAGAAGUACUAUACUUUGGGUAUAAUGUCCCCAAAAGGCCCAGAAGCUAAAUAAAGGUUUGUUCCCCAGCCUGUGGCAUUCCCGACAGAAACUAAAACAUAGGGCCUAGUGGAAGGAAGUUAAGUCACUGAAAAUAUGCCCUGAAAAGCCUUUUUCCUUCUUGUUUCCUAGAUGAGUUCAUUUGCUGUACUCCUUCCCUGACACUCUACCUCACCACAGAUCCAAAAUCAACAGAGCCAACCGCAAUGAAAACAAUGAACUAUGCCCCUUAUAAACUGUUCUCAAGAGCCCUGUUCACAGCAAUAGGAAGUCGUUAAUGAACACCCUAGGUGAUUAUGACUCCCACUAAAGUUCAAGGUCACUGUCUACAUAAAGCGAUGUUCAUUCCUGGUCCAGAGCAGUUAUUCUGCAGCGUAGGAAACACAGCAGAAUGGGCUCUCAAAACUUCCAAGUUCAGCCUUCAUCCUGAAGCCAAGCUGAUAACUUAACUCAGCCAAAAGAAAACAUUAAGGAGUCAGUUGCUGUAAGUUCCUCAGAUGAUCAUAACAGAGUUUCGAGAACUACUAUCACAACGUCGUCUCAGCAUUUCCUUUCCUUUAGCUCACAACACACUGUAAUGGCCUCCCAGAAACAAAGCUAUCACACUUGUACCAUGAACCCUCUGUGUUCACCUGUAUUUAAGCAUAAUAAAUCAUUCUGGUUGUACUA